UACGGGGGGGGCAAGCGUUGUUCGGAAUUACUGGGCGUAAAGGGCUCGUAGGUGGCCAACUAAGUCAGACGUGAAAUCCCUCGGCUUAACCGGGGAACUGCGUCUGAUACUGGAUGGCUUGAGUUCGGGAGAGGGAUGCGGAAUUCCAGGUGUAGCGGUGAAAUGCGUAGAUAUCUGGAGGAAUACCGGUGGCGAAGGCGGCAUCCUGGACCGAAACUGACGCUGAGGCGCGAAAGCUAGGGGAGCAAACGGG
rnacentral:rRNA from 1 species